CGUAGCGGCUCAGUCUCGUGCUGGGCAGUUUGGGGUGGUCACGUGCCUCUAGACCAGCUGAACGGCCGCUAGCUCCCUUCCCAGGGCGCGCGGAGGGGGCGGCCGCGCAGCGCCGCGGGAUGUGCUCCGUGCAGGGGAUCCCCAGUCCCGGCACCACCAUCAGCCUGAGGGUCUCCUUCGUGGACGUUCACCCGGAGGUGCCGCUAGUGCGGCUGUGGGGCCUGCUGGGCGAGCGCCGGGAGGAGUAUGCCCGGCUGCACCAGGACAUCCAGGCUAAGGCCGGGCCGCGCCUGGUCGGCGCCCCGGGAGCCGUCUGGCCGGCGGCGGGGGCCGGGCUGUGCUCGGGGGACCUGUGCCUGGUGGAACUAGGGGACCAUUGGCACCGCUGCCGGGUCGUGAGCCGCCAGGGCCAGCGCUGCCGAGUCUUCCUGCUGGACGAGGGUCGCACGGUGGCGGCCGACGCCUACUACUUGGCCCGGGGCAGGGACGAAUUCUUCCACCUGCCCUCCGAGGUGCUGGGCUGCGUGCUGGCCGACCUGGUGCCGCCGGGAGACGGGGCGGCCGUGGCGGGCAGCGGGGAGCAGCCGGCCGCCAGCUGGACGGCGGGCGCCCUGGAGUUCCUGAACUACCUGCACGCCAAGGAGGUGUCGGGGCUGGUGCGAGAGGUGCUGAUGCCGCAGUGCCUGGUCCUGCUCGAGCUGCCUUCGCUGCUGGCCCAGAUGCACCACCUGGGCCUGGCCAAGCAGGUCACUCCCAGCUGCUUCCGAGCCCUGCUCAAGCGCUGCCUGGCCGCGCCCUGCCUGCACGGCCAGCCCAAGCCGGAGCCCCCCGGCCCUACGUCGGCUCAGCAGUACCCUCUUGCUACCACUCCCCAGCCGGGCCCGGCCGCCCUGGAUUUCUUCUACCCUCGGCUGCAGCUGGGGGUGACUGAGCCGGUGCUAGUGACCCAGAUCUCCGACCCGCACCACGUCUAUUGCCAGCUGCAGAGCCUCUCCCAGGAGAUCCAGCGCCUCUCGGACUCCUUGCACCAGAGGUACGAGGCGGCGGCCAGGCGGGAGCAGGAUCCGCUACCCAAGCCGGGCGCCCCUUGCGCCGCACGCUGCAUAGACGGGCGCUGGUACCGCGCGCUGUUGCUGGAGAUCUUCCCCGGGGAGCAGGGUCGGCUGGUGGCCCAGGUGAUCUGCGUGGACUACGGCAGGAAGGAAUUCGUCAUCGGGGCUAACCUCCGCCGCCUGCCCCUGGAGUGUUUCCGCAUGCCGGUGGUGACCUACCCGUGCGCCCUGCAGGGCAUCUCGGACAGGGGCUGCGGCUGGUCCUGCUCCCAGCUCAGCGGGCUCAAGGCGCUGCUGCUGGGCAAGGCGGUGAGCGCCCGCAUCGAAACCUACAGUCCCUUCGAGCACCUCUACUACGUGAACCUGUAUGGGGAGAACGGCCUCAACCUGAACUGCCUCUACGGGGUGCAGAGCGGCUGUCUGGCCCACAGCCUGCUGCGGGGCGGCCAGGGAGCGCAGGAGCGGCCGGAAGAGGAGGACGCCGCCUCUCCUAAGGAGCUGGGGCCGCCGCCGGACACACUCCUCGCAACUACGGCUCAGAGGGACCCGGCCACUGCCCACCUGCCGGGCGUGCGGGUGAAGGUGGGAGUGUUCUACCAUGCCAAGGUGUCCUUCGUCCGAGACCCGUCCGAGUUCUGGCUGCGGCUGAAGGAGCACCUCCUGCCCUUCAGCCAGCUGACGCGGAGCAUGAGCGACUUCUACUCCCGAGCCCAGAAGCUGGACGGCAUCGUCCUGGAGCCCCAGCCGAGAUCCCUGUGCUGCGCCAAGUGGAAGGAGAACGCCUACUAUCGGGCCGUUAUCACCAGUGUGCUGGGGAAUGGGGUGGAAGUGCACCUGGUGGAUAGAGGCAACAGGGAGAUCUUGGAUUGGUAUGAGGUAAAGGAGCUGCUGCCGCAGUUCAGGGAGCUGCCUGCUGUAGCUCUGAAGUGCUGUUUGGCAGAUGUCUCUCCCCUGGGAGAGACAUGGAGUAAAGAGUCUGUGGCUCACUUUAAAAGGGCAGUGCAGAGCAAAGAGCUGUUGAUCCAGGUGUUGGGUACGCAGGGUGACAAGCAUGUGAUUGAAAUUCUUGACCAGUCUCAAACAGGGGAGAAAAAUAUAAGCAAAAUUUUGUCCCAAGGAGGCUAUGCAAAAUUCCAAGGGUCUGAGAUUCCAGACACUCUUCAGAAGUUAUCUGUUCAGUCUCUGAGGCAGGAUCCCAAAGAAUAUGCUGGCGAGGGGGAGCUAGUAAGUUCAACAGCCAGGAAGAGUGGCGUGCAAACCAAAACAAUAAGAGACAAUAUAGCGCUGAACCCCUCUGUGCCUUUGACAGUCAAAGACCAGCCUACUGCAGAAAAUUGCCAUUUAUCAAGUGACUCGGCUCCUGAUGAAAAAAAAAUUAAGGGAAACCUAAAUCUGCCCUCCUCUCUUAUACAGUACUACUUGGAAAUAAAACCAGGAUCUCCUUAUGAAGGUCAGCUGGAAGUUGGUAGUACAGUUCAGGUGAUAAUAUCUUAUGUUGAAAGUCCUGGCUACUUUUGGUGUCAGUUGAGGAGAAACAACCAAGAACUUAAGUCAUUAAUGGCUGAAAUUCAGGAUUAUUGCAAGACUUCAGCACAGCCAUAUUGUUGGGCAAGUCCAGUGUGUUUAGCUAAGUAUUCAGAGGAUGAGAAAUGGUACAGAGCUUUGAUUAUUAGUGGAGAGUGUUCUACAGAACAGGUAGAAGUAAUAUAUGUUGACUAUGGGAACAAGGAGCUGGUUUCUGUAAAGAAUCUCUGCUCAAUUAAUGCAAACUUUCUGAAAUUAAAGGCUCAGGCUUUCAGAUGCAGCCUUUACAAUUUAAUCCAACCAAAUGGUCAGGAUCCUUUUGUUUGGGAUGAAAAAGCAAUCCAAGCUUUUCAGGAGUUUGUUGAUGACACAGCAGAUCAUUUGGAACUGAAGUGUACAAUAUUUGCUCUAGCUGCCAUAAACAAUAAAGAGCUGUUUAAUGUUGUGGACUUAAUUACACCUUUUCAGAGUGUGUGCCAUUUUUUAACCGAGAAAGGGUUGGCCAGACCUGUACCGUCUCAAAAACCUCUGGCAUCCACCAUUCAGCUACACUCUUACUAUUAUUCUACACAUGACAUCAAAAUUGGAAGUGAAGAAGAGAUUUAUGUAACACAUGUUGACAAUCCAUGGAAAUUUUACUGCCAACUUGCCAGAAGUGCAAAUGUCCUAGAACUGCUCACCAAUAACAUUGGUCGACUAAGCAAAGUACUGCACAGUUUAAAAAUGUCACAAAACCCCGGAAACCUAUAUCUUGCAAGGUAUACUGACAAUCACUGGUACAGAGGAGCAGUUUUGAAAACCAAGCCUAAUAAAGAAGUCAUCUUUGUAGACUUUGGGAAUACACAGGUGGUAAAGAAAGAAGACUUGAUUCCUAUACCUAGUGAUGCAUAUGAAAUCUUACUUUUGCCAAUGCAAGCUAUAAAAUGUUCACUAUCUGAUAUCUCUAACGUACCGAAAGAAGCUACCACAUGGUUUGAAACUGCUGUCUUGCAUAAGCCUUUAAAGAUGAUAGUGGUAGCAAAAGAAUCUGAUGGAAGGCUGAUAGUUGAACUGUAUGAUGGCAAUAUUCAAAUUAAUGCAAAAAUUAAAGAGGGUUUAAGCUUACCAAGAAAUAGAGAGUCUAACAAAUAUGUAGAAAAUGAAACUCUACAUUCUAAAAACAUAAAUGCUAAAGAGAGGAAUGAAAACAUGAAGUCAUCAUCAACAUACAUGAGAAAGUCUGAGACUAAAACUUGGAGAUCUGAAAUCCAAGGAGAAGACUGCAAUACCAAGACCAGCUUUGUAUGUAAGGAUGUAAAACACUUCCAACCUGCUGCAAAAAGAGAGUUGUCAACCAAGUUUCUAGGAUCUGUGGAAAGAUUUAACAGUAACAAAGUUUUUCCCUCAGCAAGUACUUCGUUAGUAGGUAAAAAAGUAGAUGAAGAUAAAUCUUUACGCUUUAUAAAGAAAGAGAUAAAGUCUGAUAUUAAACUUGAUACUGUUAAAACUAGAAAUCAAGAAGAAAAUAGUACACUUUUCCCAAUUAAAAGCAUAUGUGACUUGCCUCCAAGGAACUUAGUGCCUGGUCUGAAGACUUUAGUAUACAUUUCUCAUGUAAAUAACCCUUCAGAUUUUUAUAUUCAAUUAGCAAGUGAUGAACCUCAACUUAACAAUAUUUCAGAAGGAUUAAACAAUAAAACAGGAACAGAGAGUCUCAGUCAACAACAGAUGCAAGUAGGAGACUUAAUUGGUGCCGUUUUUUCAGAAGAUGGCUUGUGGUAUCGAGCUGUAGUAAAAGAAAAACUAUCUGAUGAACAGAUAAGUGUACAAUAUAUAGAUUAUGGCAACACUUCUGUAGUUAAUGUUUGUGAAACAAAUAGACUGCUUGAAAAAUAUUCAUCAAUUCCAAUGAUGAGUAUUCAUUCUUCACUGGCUGGAGUUCAGUCCAAACAGUUUACAAAUUGGACACAGGAAGCCGUGAGUUAUUUUUCAGAAAGAACAAGUGAAGUUAAAAUAAACUGUGAAUUUGUAGAGAAACUCAAAGACAGAUGGGAAAUUGUUCUCUAUGACGAGCAAGGUAUGAUAGCAGUGGAUCUGAUUAAUGAAACCUUUGGAAUGAGAGAAGAAUCUCAGUCAACAGAAGCACUUGACAGAAGAGAGAGUGGUGCUGAUGUGGCAAAUCAGUGUGAACCUCUGCCUUUUGAAGAGAAAAAUAAAGCUUCUAGUAUAACUGACACUAAAUCAUUCUUCUGGAAGAUUCCAGAGGUAGCUCAGACUGUAGAAACCUAUGUCACUGUUGUAAAGGGCCCAGAAUACUUUUGGUGUCAGAUGGCUGACGCAGAUAAUAUAAACUACUUAGAAAAAAAACUACAGGAAACUGGAGAACUUGAAAUAAGCAGUGUGGAUGACUUCAGAUCUAGUAUUAGAAGUGGUGAUAUUUGCAUAGCAAAGUAUAGUGAAGAUGGAAAACUUUACAGAGCAAAAGUUAGCAGCGUAAAAGGUAACAACCUAACUGUCAGACAUGUGGAUUAUGGAUCUGAGGAACUUGUUGGCAGAGAGAUGAUUAGACAAAUUCCUGAUCAAUUGCUUACAAUACCUAUGCAAGCAUUUCCAUGCUGUCUAUCUGGAUUUAAUUCCCCAGAGGGUUCAUGGAGUAAUGAAGCAAAAGACAAGUUCUAUGACAUGACUGCAGAAUAUUUACUAGAGGUCACAGUAAUGGAAAUACAAAAGGAUAACUCUUCUGAAAUUCCCUUAUCUGUUGUUAAACUGGAAUGUAAUGGAAAAAACAUUAAUGAGGAGAUGAAACGGUUUUGGCAGUAUAACACUGACACGACUUUGGCAAACAUUCAGAACGCUUUCAGUGAAAAGAAUGAGGGUCCAGGGACAGAUAAUACAGAUGCUGUUUGCCUUGAAAGAGCUGCGGCUUCUACUGGAGAUGCCGAGCAAGAAAAUAGUGCUCUGCAGGAUGCUUUACGCUGUGCAGAACCAUUCCACCUGACAGACAGUGGAUGUCUAAAUACUGCAGGAAUUGAAGAAGUGAUUCUCAAAACUGCUAAUGAGCAUCAGACCAAUUUUGAAAUACUUAAUAAAGUGGAGAAUCCUUUAUUGAAAAAAGAGAGUGAUAGCGAAACAAAGGUAUAUGUAGAACCGAAAACAUCUGAACCACAGCUUCUUGCCAAUAGUGAAACAAAGGACUUAGAUCUUGAGCCAUCUGAAGCACAGUUCUUGGAGGAUGACGAACUCAAAGCAGAGACGUUAGAAUUAUCACUUGAAGUACAGUCUCUCCUGGGUGAAGAAAGAAAGGAGCAGUUGGCACUUCCAUCAGCUGAGGUGCAUCCUUCCCUGGAUGAGAAUGUGAAGCUGUUGGAAAUGGAGCAGUUACAAAUGCACUCUUCACUUGAUGAACUUAAAAAGCUCUUACUGGAGCUAGAGUCACUCGAAGUGUACCCUUCCUUGGGUGACAAAACAAAAGAGAUUCUGGAACUGGAGUCAUUAGAAAUGCAGACUUCCUUGACCGAUGAAACAAAGGAAAAAUUGUCAGAACUGGAAUCACUCCAAGUACAGCUUUUGGAUGAUGAAACAGGGGAACUAAUGAACCUGAAAUCACUUGAAGUGUCACCUUCAUUUAGUAAUAGAGAGAAUUGGUUGGAAAUGGAGUCAUCACUUGAAAUACAGCCUGUAUGCGGUGAUGAAAGAGGGAAACUAUUCGAACUGAUACCAUGUGAGGAGCAGAUUUCCUUGGGUGAAGAAACAAAGGAGAGAGUGGAUUGGGACUUGGACUUACUUGAAGUUCAUCAAAUGAAAGCUGUACCAACUGAGUUGGAAGUGGAGUCUGCCCUAGUAAAAACUUUACUUAGUAAUGGAGCCAGAAAGGAGCUGGAACCAGAGAUGCACAAAGUACAGUCUUUGCUUGGUGCUGAAAGAGAAGAGGUAUUGGAACUGAUGCCAUUGGAAGUGCAGGCUUCUCUUGGUGAUGAAACAAGGAAGGACCCAUUAGAGUUGGAACCAUCUAAUUUAGAGCUUUCUGUAGAUAGUGCAGAUCAGCUUUCAUUCCCCAAAACUGACUUAAAAAAACAAGUGUCUACUUGCCCUGUAGAGCUGUGUGGUGUAGGACAAGCUGAUAGCAGAGGUGAAAAAUGUAAGAAAUGGCUAACUUUGCAAGAGAAGAGUUGUGCAGAACAGAUGGAAUCAGACUUGCAUAAAGUGUUCAGAGAGUAUAAAACUAUUCUUGUGAGUGGGGAGUCCUUGAGGCAUAACCCCUCAGAUGAAGAAGAAAUUGAAAUAAGAGAAAAGCAGGAUGUAACUUUAGCUGGUCAUGGUGCAGAGCAAAGUGAGCAUGCCUGUAAUCUAGAGGGGUUUGCUGUUGGCUCCAAAUGUAUGGUGUGGACAUGUCUGAAGUGGUGUGAGGCUCGGAUUUUGGAGAUAUCUGAUGAAGGCACCAAGGUUUUGAAUCUCUCUACUGGCAAUGAGGAGAUAGUGAAUCCUGAGCAUGUUUGGAAUGGCAUUCCUGAAGUGACGAAGAGUCCAUAUGAGGCAGCGUUCCAUGUGACAGAUAAGGAGUGCAAGUUAUCAGUGGAGGGCUCAGAGUUGAAAGGUAGUACUUCUAUUUUUCUUUCUAAACUCCUGCCAUAUGAAGAAUUCAUUGUUAGUUGGAUGUUAAGUAUCUGUCUUUUGCUUCAAAAGGCUAAAAGCAUGAUAUUCUAGUAUAUUAUAAACAGAAUAACUUCCAGCUGUGAAAUGCAAUUGGACUAACUGGUCACUUUCGAAUAAUUUUUUGGGUUCUUCACUAGCAGGUACAGCACAGGCAGUAACAGUGCAAGACCCCCGCAUAUUGCCUUGUGUGGGAGGACUAUCCCUAAGGGGAAAUAAUAGUUCUGUUUUCAUGCCUAGUCAAAUCCUUGGCCUUUCUGCUGAGUGUACCAGUUAUGGCUAUCUCUUCGUACUUUUCCACUUGGAGAAUUGAACUGUGAUCACCAAGUCAGGUCUUGUAGGUCCCCAAAUCUUUGUAAAAUGGUAGUGACUGUCACAUGAAAGUCUUUGUAUCCAUUACUGAUCACCUGAGGCACGUGGUCUCUUUGUAGCUCUUCCCUUAUUUUUGUUCUUUCUUACAAAAAAAAAGGACAAGAAACCCUUAUGUCCUUCUGUUUUUUUCUUUGAGAUGAUGGGGUUUAACUUGCCAACUUGUUGACUGAUACUAGAAAUAAAAAGCUUAGCUGGUGAUACUUUCUUCCUGCCUUUUUACAGUGCCUGAAAAAGCUAUUAGCUAAUCUGCUGUUCUCAUUUGAGUCAAAGGUGUAUAAUAGACCUUCCUACAACUAGCAUUGGUUUACUUAAGUUUGUCUGGUUUUUUGCCAGGGUUCUUUUUUUUCAGUACUGUAAUGUACACAUAGAGGAUGGCAACCUACUACUGCUAUCAGGCACUCCAUUAGUUCAAGUGACAGAGAUCUGUGGUGGAUUGAAAAAAAAAAGGGCUAGUUGUGGCUCAGAUGUAAUGGUUGACCCAUAUAUGUUGUCCAGCAGUCCUGAAAAUACCACAGAGUAAGGCUUCUAGUUCACUAUCGUCACGUGUUGGAGAAGAAAAGUCUUAUGACCAUGUAUUUUCCCGAGAUGACUGAGUUAUACAUUGUAGAAGUAUUUUAAGCAUGGUUUUCAAGCAGCUGAGUAAAUAAUGUCUAACUUGUAUGCUAUAUUUCUGUAAUAGCACUUCACACUUGUGUAAGACAACAAAAUGCCUACAUGGAAUCUAUAGAUGUUUUGAUAGUGCUGGCAUCUAGCUUCUUAAAAUUGCGCUGCCUUCAUUUAAGUAAGAAUUUGGGCAGCCCUGGACCAGUGGCGUUUCAGCUAUUGAAUGUUUUAGUCUUUUGCACCAGUAGUUGUAAUAACUAGAUUAUUAAAAUUUUUGCAUAUGUAGAUUGCUUAAACUCUUUAUUUCUAUUGGAACUAUACUUGAUUUAAGUUUGGGUUUGCUUAAAUGAAGGUUAUUCAGAUGUAUACAAACGACUGAAUGUUAUGCAACACUGCUUUCUGAUGAACACUGAGAAGAUUUCUUUGUUAGAAAAGCUCUCCUAAAAAAAAUUAGAGGAUAUUUUGCACCAGUUACUUUGAAUGUUUUGUUCUCCUUUAUGGUAAACAAUAUUUACUUCAGUUUGAACUCUGCAUUUAUACUACUAUACUAACUAUGGAACAAGCUGGAAUAAAGCUGAUGCUGAUGCAUUAUCAUCUUGUCUUGAUCUUUUAGAUUUCUCCACUACACUACUUUCUUUAGUGUAUAAGGGACACUUCCUUUAUCUAUAAUUAAUUGACUACAAUCUGUUGGAUGAACACGCUUUUUAAAAACAGGCCAAUAAGUAACAGAGCACCCCAGGAAUAUUAAACGUAAGAGCAUAAGAAUGGCCAUACUGGGUCAGAUGAAUGGGUCCAUCUAUACUCCUGGGGCAAUGCUGCACCACUGCGCGCAUACAGAAUUCAUGUCCUCUGCAGAUUUCUUUGCUUCCCCACAGAAAAUGACGGGGAAGCAAAGGGAAGCCACAAGAGUGGUCAUGCAACCCUCCCCAGCAGUGCGGGUAUGUCGUUUCGGGCACCUGGAGCAGUUGGCGGAGAGGUAAAUCACCUUGGGAAGGGGCUGGGCACACCCAAGCCGCUGGCUCCUACCCUGUGCUGGGCUCAGCUGCAAGUCCUGGCUGGGUUGAGGAGUGGUGGGGGGAGGCCAGAACUUCCUCUUCCCUUACCAAGGAGCCGCCGGGGCCAGGUAAGACUCACCCCCAGAAACUUCCCCUGACUGCAGGAAGCUCUGCACCCCCUCUUACUGCUUGCCCCUAUUGCUCAUCCCAUGUGCAUCUAGACCCCCCCAUACCUAGAAUCCCCCCCCCCACAGAAUCCCUUGCACUCGAACCCCCACCCUGCUGAACCUCAUCCCCUGCAUCCAGAGCCCUCCUGCACCUGAACCCUCUUUUCCCCCGCUAAGCCUCACUCCCCACACUUGGACCUUGCCAUCAAGGUCCUCCCCCCUGCAUCCAGACCCCCACCCCCUGCACCCAGACUAUCCCCAUUUUCCCCCUGCACCCAGGUGCCCACCCCAUUGAGCCCAACCAACUGCACCUGGACCUCCACCACACUAAGCCCCACUCCCCCAGCAUCACCUUCAGAGUGCCAUUCCCCUUGCACUCAGAACCCCUCAACAAGCCCCUUUGUAUCCAGAUCCCCCACUAAGCCACCCAUACCCAGAUUACCCCACACAGAACCCUCUCACCCCGCACCUGGAUCCCCUCGCAUUAAACCCCUCCACACUUGGAUCCUGCCAGACUGAGCCUUCUUGCCCCACACCUGGAUCGGGGGCCAGGGUUGGGCAUGUGUGAGAGACUGUCCCUCUUGCUUACUAUUUUGGUGCACCUGGCAUGGAGGGACAGGGCCCUGGGGUGUUUGUGGGGCAGGCCUGGCCCCUGCACUGUCAAAGUUGGGUCAACCUCCUGGCCAAGUCUGUGUUGGGGGUGGGGUGGAGGCAGCACUGCAGGGUGAUCUUCCACCUCUGUGCAGCCAGUGGACUGUGCUCCCCGCUGCCAUGCUGGAGCCU